rnacentral:rRNA from 1 species
UACGAAGGGGGCUAGCGUUGCUCGGAAUCACUGGGCGUAAAGCGCACGUAGGCGGACUCUUAAGUCGGUGGUGAAAUCCUGGAGCUCAACUCCAGAACUGCCUUCGAUACUGAGAGUCUCGAGUCCGAGAGAGGUGAGUGGAACUGCGAGUGUAGAGGUGAAAUUCGUAGAUAUUCGCAAGAACACCAGUGGCGAAGGCGGCUCACUGGCUCGGUACUGACGCUGAGGUGCGAAAGCGUGGGGAGCAACAGGG